UACGUAGGGACCAAGCGUUGUUCGGAUUUACUGGGCGUAAAGGGCGCGUAGGCGGCAGAUCAAGUCAGCUGUGAAAUCUCCGAGCUUAACUCGGAACGGUCAGCUGAUACUGUUUUGCUAGAGUACAGAAGGGGCAACCGGAAUUCUUGGUGUAGCGGUGAAAUGCGUAGAUAUCAAGAGGAACACCUGAGGCGAAGGCGGGUUGCUGGGCUGAUACUGACGCUGAGGCGCGAAAGCUAGGGUAGCAAACGGGAUUAGAAACCCCCGUAGUCC
rnacentral:rRNA from 1 species